rnacentral:rRNA from 1 species
AGAGCGAACGCUGGCGGCAGGCCUAAUACAUGCAAGUCGAACGAAGCCUUCGGGCUUAGUGGCGGACGGGUGAGUAACACGUGGGAACGUACCCUUUGGUUCGGAACAACUCAGGGAAACUUGAGCUAAUACCGAAUGUGCCCCCAUCCUUAAAAAAGAUGGGUGGGAAAGAUUUAUCGCCAUUGGAGCGGCCCGCGUCUGAUUAGCUAGUUGGUGAGGUAAAGGCCCACAAGGCUACGAUCAGUAGCUGGUCUGAGAGGAUGAUCAGCCACACUGGGACUGAGACACGGCCCAGACUCCUACGGGAGGCAGCAGUAGGGAAUCUUGCGCAAUGGGCAAAGCCUAACGCAGCCAUGCCGCGUGAAUGAUGAAGGUCUUAGGAUUGUAAAAUUCUUUCAGCGGGACGAUAAUGACGGUACCGCAGAAGACGCCCGGCUAACUUCGCGCCAGCAGCCGC